AGGCAGCAGUAGGGAAUCUUCGGCAUGGACGGAAGUCUGACCGAGCAACCGCCGCGUGAGUGAAGAAGGUUUUCGGAUCGUAAAGCUCUGUUGUAAGAGAAGAACGAGUGUGAGAGUGGAAAGUUCACACUGUGACGGUAUCUUACCAGAAAGGGACGGCUAACUACGUGCCAGCAGCCGCGGUAAUACGUAGGUCCCGAGCGUUGUCCGGAUUUAUUGGGCGUAAAGCGAGCGCAGGCGGUUAGAUAAGUCUGAAGUUAAAGGCUGUGGCUUAACCAUAGUAGGCUUUGGAAACUGUUUAACUUGAGUGCAAGAGGGGAGAGUGGAAUUCCAUGUGUAGCGGUGAAAUGCGUAGAUAUAUGGAGGAACACCGGUGGCGAAAGCGGCUCUCUGGCUUGUAACUGACGCUGAGGCUCGAAAGCGUGGGGAGCAAACAGGAUUAGAUACCCUGGUAGUCUACGCUGUAAACGAUGAGUGCUAGGUGUUAGACCCUUUCCGGGGUUUAGUGCCGUAGCUAACGCAUUAAGCACUCCGCCUGGGGAGUACGACCGCAAGGUGA
rnacentral:rRNA from 1 species